ncrna:unclassified sequences S15-Flavobacteria ribosomal protein leader
UAUAUUUGCAGAAUUCAAAUUAAUACAUAAUAAUUAUUAAAUAAUAUUGGAAUG